rnacentral:misc_RNA from 1 species
GGAUCCUCCGGCACUUCCGCCACCGCCGACAUCCCGCUCAAAUACACCUCCCCAGUGGGACGAGGAUACACCUCUGGGUCUAAAGGCUUUCCAUCCUGAGCCGGAUAGUAACCUAGAAACAGAGCAUGCGGAGUUAUGGCUUCCGGCUCUUUAGGUUCCAAAAUUAUACUGUGUGCUUUCAGCCCAUACACUCUGAACAGCGACGAUAGCGCCUCGAACUUCCCAGACCAUGGUCCCAACGCCA